rnacentral:rRNA from 1 species
GAACGCGGGGGUCAAAGUCCGUCGAAUUUACGACGUGUACUGGAUCCCCGCUUCCUACCUUUCGGCAACGCCAUGGUGCCCCUCUUCACUGAGGGGUGCCUUAGGGUUCCGAAUCGUUUACUUUGAAAAAAUUAGAGUGUUCAAAGCAGGCGUCUCUAGCCUUGAAUACAUUAGCAUGGGAUAAUAGAAUAUGACUUUGGUCUUAUUUUGUUGGUUUCUAAGGCUGAAGUA